AGCGAACGUUAGCGGCGGGCCUAACACAUGCAAGUCGAGCGAGAAAGUGGCUUCGGCCACGAGUAAAGCGGCGGACGGGUGAGUAACACGUAGGUAAUCUUCCCUUGAGCGGGGGACAACGAGCCGAAAGGCUCGCUAAUACCGCAUACGUUUCCAGAGGCCCCGGUCUCUGGAAGGAAAGCUAGGCCGCAAGGUCUGGCACUCGAGGAGGAGCCUGCGUCGCAUCAGCUAGUUGGUGGGGUAACGGCCUACCAAGGCGAAGACGCGUAGCUGGGCUGAGAGGAUGAUCAGCCACACUGGGACUGAGACACGGCCCAGGCUCCUACGGGAGGCAGCAGUGGGGAAUAUUGGACAAUGGGCGCAAGCCUGAUCCAGCCACGCCGCGUGAGUGAUGAAGGCCUUCGGGUCGUAAAGCUCUGUGGGGAGGGACGAACCGCUGCACGUUCAUAGCGUGCAGCAUGACGGUACCUCCUUAGCAAGCACCGGCUAACUUCGUGCCAGCCGCCGCGGUAA
rnacentral:rRNA from 1 species